rnacentral:rRNA from 1 species
AGAAUGUAUAGCAAUAGCUAGUUGUAUCAACAUAAAAAAUAAAAAAAAUUAUGUCACAAUCUCGACUAGUUCGAAUAAAAUUCUAGGUAAAUUUAUGAUAAUGACAUUAUCUAUCUAUGUGUCUUGACCAAAAUACGUGCCAGCAGUCGCGGCAAUACGUAAAAGACUAGUGUUAUUCAUGUUUAAUUGGUUUAAAGCGUACCUAGACGGUAAUUAUAGCCUAAAUAAGGUACUUUUUUACUAGAGUUAUAUGUAAGGGUGUAUUAAAGUACUGUUGAGUUUAGAGAUGAAAUUCUUUGACACCAGAUAAUUGGCACAGGUAUAGGCGAAAGCAUCACUUUAUGUAAUAACUGACGUUGACGAACGAAGGCUAUGUGUCGCGAACAGGAUUAGAUACCCUAGUAGUCUUAGCAGAAAAUUAUGAAUGUCAUAGGUUAGAUUUUAUUUGGUCUAUAAAUGAAAGUGUAAGCAUUCCACCUCAAGAGUAAUUUGGCAACAUUGGAACUGAAAUCAUUAGACCGUUUCUGAAACCAGUAGUGAAGUAUGUUGUUUAAUUUGAUAAUCCGCAAAGAACCUUACCACAAUUUGAAUAUAAUUUUACAAGCGUUGCACGGCUGUCUUCAGUUAAUGUCGUGAGAUUUUGGUUUACUCCAUUUAAUUAACGUAAACCCUUACUUUAUUUUUAUAUAGAGUUUUCCACCGGUAUAUUGGAUGUGAUAAUAGGGACUAAGACAAGUCAUCAUGGC